rnacentral:misc_RNA from 1 species
GAAAAAAAAAAAAGAAAAGAAAGAACUGUCAGCGUUAAGAGAGGUUGCAGAAAUCAAUUAAACCAUAAGAAAGGUAGCAGAGAAAAAUGCACAAAUUCUCACAAAAAAAUGCGAAACUCUCAGAAAAACAGAGAAACAAAUCAAUUCAAUUUGCGACCUCAAAACUUCAGACAAUCGCUUAAAUCAUCGCCACGCUAGAAUUCAAUCUCCUUAAUGAAUUCUCCAACCACAUUAAAUAAUAAUAAUAAUAAU